GAUGAAGAACGCAGCGAAAUGCGAUAAGUAAUGCGAAUUGCAGAUUUCAGUGAGUCAUCGAAUCUUUGAACGCACAUUGCGUCCGCCAGUAUUCUGGCGGGCAUGCCUGUUCGAGCGUCAUUUCAACCAUCAAGCCCCCGGGCUUGCGUUGGGGCCCUGCGGCUGCCGCAGGCCCCGAAAAGCAGUGGCGGGCUCGCUGUCACACCGAGCGCAGUAGCGAUUCUCGCUCCGGGCGUCGGCGGCGGGCACCGGCCGUGAAACCCCCCCACAUCCACAAGGUUGACCUCGGAUCAGGUAGGAAUACCCGCUGAACUUAAGCAUAUCAUAAGCGGAGGA
rnacentral:misc_RNA from 1 species